rnacentral:tRNA from 5 species
ACUUAUAUAGUUUAACUAAAAUAUUAAUUUUGUAAAUUAAAGAUAUACCUUAUUUAUAAGUA